rnacentral:lncRNA from 1 species
AAUUCUUCAAGGAGCAGAUUUUUGUAUGUUUUUUGUGUUUGUGUUUUUGAUGAUAUUUGGAUUAUAUUGUACUUUUUAUUAUUAUUUUGAACUGUCUUCAGUUUAACAUCAUUUUUUGGGAGUGAAAUUUGUUUAAAUUUGAAUAUAGAAAGUUUGUAAUUAUGUUAUUUAAAAAAAACUCUAAUUAAAUGGGCUAGUGAGCCAACCCGUUUACCUACCAACCCAUGGUGGGUCGAGCCAGGUUCAUAUUUUUCUGGCUCGCUAAUAUAUGAGCUGGGUUGGGUUGGCUCACUAAGUGACCAACCCGUGGUGGGUCGGGCCGGGUCGAGCUGAGUUACCCGUUUUGACAGCUCUAACUAUAACCAACAUAAUGUCUUUAAUUUUCAUCUUUCCCCUAUCUCCUCCUUGUCCUACACUUUAAUGUUGUGCUCACAUUAUUCUCCCCCCUCUCAUUAUUAUUCCUUUCGUUAAUGACUCUCUUUUUCUCCCUCUCGUUGGUAAUCAUUUUCUUUCUCAUAGAGGUCACUCUUAUAGAGACCAUUCUCACUCUUGCAGACCCUUAGUACUCUAACAAUUUCUCUCACUGAUGUUGGGUUUAGAGUUUGGAUGUAUUUCCUAUCUCGAGGGCACUCUAUAGGUUUCAGUCUUCACUGUAGUGGUCUCGUCAUUAUCCUUCGUUGUUGUCUUCUUCCUCUCUUUCACUUCGUUUCGCUUCUUCCCCACU